rnacentral:rRNA from 1 species
CCUACGGGCGGCUGCAGUGGGGAAUCUUCGACAAUGGGGUAAACCCUGAUCCAGCGACGCCGCGUGAGUGAAGAAGUAUUUCGGCACGUAAAGCUCUAUUAUUAGGAAAGAAAAUGACGGUAACUGACUAUGCAGCCCCGGCCAAUUACGUGCCAGCAGCCGCGGUCAUACGAAGGGGGCAAGCGUUAUCCGGAUUUACUGGGUGUAAAGCGAGCGUAGACGGCUGCGCAGGUCUGGAGUGAAAUGCCGCGGCUCAACCCCAGAAGUGCACUGGAAACUGGGAGGCUGGAGUGCAGGAGAGGAAAGCGGAAUUCCAGGUGUAGCGGUGGAAUGCGUAGAUAUAAGGAAGAACACCAGCGGCGAAGGCGGCUGACUGGACUGUAACUGACGUUGAGGCUCGAAAGCAUGGGGAGCGAACAGGAUUAGAUACCCGAGUAGUC